rnacentral:rRNA from 1 species
AGCAAUACAAGAUGAUGGCGAGUGGCGGACGGGUGAGUAACGCGUAGGAAUCUGCCUUCAAGCGGGGGAUAACCCGAGGAAACUCGGGCUAAUACCGCAUAUACUCGCGAGAGGAAAGCUAGGUAGUAAUAUCUGGCACUUGAAGAGGAGCCUGCGUCCGAUUAGCUAGUUGGUGAGGUAAAGGCUCACCAAGGCGAUGAUCGGUAACUGGUCUGAGAGGAUGGCCAGUCACACUGGGACUGAGACACGGCCCAGACUCCUACGGGAGGCAGCAGUGGGGAAUAUUGGACAAUGGGGGCAACCCUGAUCCAGCAAUACCGCGUGUGUGAAGAAGGCCUUCGGGUUGUAAAGCACUUUAGUUGGGGAAGAAGGAUAGUAGUUUAAGAGAUGAUUAUCUUGACGGUACCCAAAGAAUAAGCACCGGCUAACUCUGUGCCAGCAGCCGCGGUAAUACAGAGGGUGCAAGCGUUAAUCGGAAUUACUGGGCGUAAAGGGCGCGUAGGCGGACUAUUAAGUUGGAUGUGAAAUCCCUGGGCUUAACCUAGGAACUGCAACCAAUACUGGUAGACUAGAGUGCGGUAGAGGGUAGUGGAAUUUCCGGUGUAGCGGUGAAAUGCGUAGAUAUCGGAAGGAACACCAGUGGCGAAGGCGGCUACCUGGACUGACACUGACGCUGAGGCGCGAAAGCGUGGGUAGCAAACAGGAUUAGAUACCCUGGUAGUCCACGCUGUAAACGAUGAGAACUAGAUGUUGGCAGGCAUGACC